rnacentral:rRNA from 1 species
GACGAACGCUGGCGGCGUGCCUAAUACAUGCAAGUCGAGCGCAGGAAGCUGACGGAACUCUUCGGAGGGAAGGCAGUGGAAUGAGCGGCGGACGGGUGAGUAACACGUAAGGAACCUGCCUCAAGGAUUGGGAUAACUCCGAGAAAUCGGAGCUAAUACCGGAUAGUUCAACGGACCGCAUGGCCCGCCGAUGACAGGCGCUUCGGCGUCACCUUGAGAUGGCCUUGCGGUGCAUUAGCUAGUUGGUGGGGUAACGGCCCACCAAGGCGACGAUGCAUAGCCGACCUGAGAGGGUGAUCGGCCACACUGGGACUGAGACACGGCCCAGACUCCUACGGGAGGCAGCAGUAGGGAAUCUUCCACAAUGGACGAAAGUCUGAUGGAGCAACGCCGCGUGAGUGAUGAAGGUUUUCGGAUCGUAAAACUCUGUUGUAAGGGAAGAACACGUACGAGAGGGAAUGCUCGUACCUUGACGGUACCUUACGAGAAAGCCACGGCUAACUACGUGCCAGCCGCCGCGGUAA